rnacentral:lncRNA from 1 species
GUAGACUCAGAGAAAACUUGCGAAGUUUAGGAUGGAGCUGAAGAGACUGGGUUCCGUCCUACGGUGGGAUUUCUUUCCGUGCUCGCGCGUUCAGCCCCAAGUCUCAGGGCCACUCGUCUGGGAAGUUGUAGAAUCUGUAUAGCCAACCUACACAACCUCCAAGGGGCCUGCUGCCAUCAGACUGGAACUAAACCAUCAGCUCUCAUGGGACUCCAUCUUGCUGACUUAUCCUGCAGAUCUUGGGAUUUAACCGCCUCCAUAAUCACGAAUCCUCCCUCCAGGUCACUGGGAGCUUCAAUUCCUUAGAAGAAAGAAAGAGAUGACUCCUGCUUCAUAGUCCAGGAAAAUCCCCACACACCGUGGAGGCUCUUUAAGGCGGAAGGAGGUCUGCGGGGAUGUGAGAGCUUCAUACUCAUUCCCACGACUCUGUCGCAGAAGCCAGUGUCCAUUGGCAGAAGCAACUAUCACCAUACUAUGAAGUAGCACAAGCCCUUCACCAGAUACAGUCGCCCAAUCUUGGACCAUCCAGCCCCAAGAACCAUGAGCUAAAUAAACCUUUUUCCUUGAUAAA